AGAGUUUGAUCCUGGCUCAGGACGAACGCUGGCGGCGUGCUUAAUACAUGCAAGUCGAGCGAGGUUAUCUUUUCAACGUCCUUCGGGACGGCGAAUUUUUAACCUAGCGGCGGACGGGUGAGUAACGCGUGGGUAAUCUGCCCUAAAGCCCGGGAUAACAGUGGGAAACUGCUGCUAAUACCGGAUAGCUUUAUCUGAAGGCAUCUUCGGAUAAGGAAACGUAAGGCUUUAGGAUGAGCCCGCGUCCCAUUAGCUAGUUGGUGAGGUAACGGCCCACCAAGGCGACGAUGGGUAGCCGGCCUGAGAGGGUGAACGGCCACACUGGGACUGAGACACGGCCCAGACUCCUACGGGAGGCAGCAGUAGGGAAUAUUGCGCAAUGGAGGGAACUCUGACGCAGCGACGCCGCGUGAGCGAUGAAGGUUUUCGGAUCGUAAAGCUCUGUCCUUGGGGAAGAAGAGCGCUUUUAAGCGCCUUUGACGGUACCCAAGGAGGAAGCCCCGGCUAACUACGUGCCAGCAGCCGCGGUAAUACGUAGGGGGCAAGCGUUGUCCGGAAUUAUUGGGCGUAAAGGGUGCGUAGGCGGCCUUUUAAGUCAGAUGUGAAAGCCCACGGCUUAACCGUGGGACUGCAUUUGAAACUGGAGGGCUUGAGUAUCGGAGAGGGUAGUGGAAUUCCCAGUGUAGCGGUGGAAUGCGUAGAUAUUGGGAGGAACACCAGUGGCGAAGGCGACUACCUGGACGAAAACUGACGCUGAGGCACGAAAGCUAGGGGAGCAAACAGGAUUAGAUACCCUGGUAGUCCUAGCCGUAAACGAUGGGUACUAGGUGUAGGAGGUUUCGAUACCUUCUGUGCCGCAGUUAACGCAAUAAGUACCCCGCCUGGGGAGUACGUGCGCAAGCAUGAAACUCAAAGGAAUUGACGGGGGCCCGCACAAGCGGUGGAGCAUGU
rnacentral:rRNA from 1 species